GAUGAACGCUAGCGGCAGGCCUAAUACAUGCAAGUCGAACGGAUAUAUGUUUUUCGGAAUAUAUAUUAGUGGCGCACGGGUGAGUAACACGUACAUAACUUGCCCUCAAGCGGGGGAUAGCCUUGGGAAACUGAGAGUAAUACCUCAUAGAAUUAUUGGACGGCAUCGUUUGAUAAUUAAAACUACGGUGCUUGGGGAUAGAUGUGCGUCUGAUUAGCUAGUUGGUGAGGUAACUGCUCACCAAGGCGACGAUCAGUAGGGGGCGUGAGAGCGUGGCCCCCCACACGGGUACUGAGACACGGACCCGACUCCUACGGGAGGCAGCAGUAAGGAAUAUUGGUCAAUGGAGGGAACUCUGAACCAGCCAUGCCGCGUGAAGGAUGACGGCCCUCUGGGUUGUAAACUUCUUUUGGAUGGGGCGAAAAAACGGGAUUUAUCCUGGACUGACGGUACCAUCAGAAUAAGCACCGGCUAACUCCGUG
rnacentral:rRNA from 1 species